GCGCGCCUAUAGCCUAUAAAGGCGCACCGACACCAGUGCACACCUCGCGAACCAGUUUUAGGGAUUUUGUCCCAGGCCAGAAGGGGGUAGCCAGACGAGGAGGGUGAGGGUGCUGGUCGCGGCGGCGAACGGGGGCACAGGUGGCAGGUCAAGACUAGGCGGCUGAGGGAGGGGUAGCUCGCGGCGGGUGUAGCGGCAACUCGUGGCUGAGGUGCGGAGGUCGUGUCGGAGGGAGGGGUAGAUCGCGCCGGGGGUAGCGGCCGCUGAAGGUCUAGGCGGAGGGACCGGCCGCUUGAAGGUCUAGGCGCAGGGACCGGCCGCUUGAAGGUCUAGGUGGAGGCAGCGGCACACCUCCACCGAGGGAGGGGCUGGUCAGAAUGUUUUAGUCCUUCAACAUCGCGAUGUUUCCGGUUCAAACUCUUCACUGUAACGGUGUGGUGUUGGGAGAGCUAGUUCUUCAGGUUAGGUCCGUACAACUUCUUGGGUGGUGUUUCGUAGAAGUUCUGCGUGUAGGUCGUAUAACCUUCCUUGCAGUAGAGCUAGAAGUUUCAAUACAAGGACCAUGAAGAAGUAUCAACGUCAGACGUGAACCGUGGUUCUUUUCUGGAAAAGUAAACAAACCACUGAUUAUCGUACACACAGUACUCGACCUCAAAUGGAAACACAAACUUUUGAACAUAUGUAUAUAAUGUCAAAACGGAAAGUGGUAACAAGUAACUUUAUACGAUAUAAGAAAAGGUAACAUCCACUUAACUAGGAAGGUUCGGGUUCUCCUACGGCCAUGAGACGACCGUCUAGGAAGGGUACGACUUCCGGUACAAGUACGAUGAGUAGACCUACUCGUACCAAGAUGGGGUUCUGUCCUAUAUAUGGUAAACAACGUGAUAUCAACCAUAUAUCGUUCUACCUAUUCUUUAUGGGUUCUCGAAGAAGGAAAAGUUCUAAUCUUCUACCUACUAUCACUAUGCCAUGACCCGCAUCACCACUACCUCUGUAUCGGAACAUUCUGGGAACCCACCCGCUUGCGGGAACUCGUGGAGGUGAACUUGAAGACCACUUACCUUGUAAGGUUCGGGUUCCCUUACGUGAGGUAAUUGUCUUAGAAGGGUACUACCUUCUGGUAGGAGUACGAUGAGUACACGUACUCGUAUCAAGAUGAGGUUGUAAAUCUUUAAGGUCAUCAUAUUAAUCAACAAUUAUAACACUUUAUCCCACGUCCAUCCGAAAGAAACAGUUAACGAAGAGAACCGUUAAAUCCUUAGUUGGUCAUACGCACAAAGCAUAAACCACUGUGGAGGACAAUUCAAUUCCGAGGUACUUAGUACUGAACCUAUACUUAUACAUCUAGAACACUUAUUGGUCUAAAUUUAUUUAACCUACCCAUGUAACACUGGAUCCUUAACCUACACUAAAAUUUGUCCCAAUAUACUAGAAACACAUACGUACUUACACUUUACUAAACCGUACACCGACACUUAUAUAUAUGGCG
rnacentral:rRNA from 1 species